CCUACGGGGGGCAGCAGUGGGGAAUAUUGCACAAUGGGGGAAACCCUGAUGCAGCCAUGCCGCGUGUGUGAAGAAGGCCUUCGGGUUGUAAAGCACUUUCAGUUGUGAGGAAAGGUUGGUAGUUAAUACCUGCCAGCUGUGACGUUAACAACAGAAGAAGCACCGGCUAACUCCGUGCCAGCAGCCGCGGUAAUACGGAGGGUGCGAGCGUUAAUCGGAAUUACUGGGCGUAAAGCGCACGCAGGCGGCUUGUUAAGCUAGAGGUGAAAGCCCCGCGCUCAACGUGGGAACUGCCUUUAGAACUGGCAGGCUAGAGUCUUGGAGAGGGGAGUGGAAUUCCAGGUGUAGCGGUGAAAUGCGUAGAUAUCUGGAGGAACAUCAGUGGCGAAGGCGGCUCCCUGGCCAAAGACUGACGCUCAUGUGCGAAAGUGUGGGUAGCGAACAGGAUUAGAUACCCCUGUAGUC
rnacentral:rRNA from 1 species